UGAAACGUUGCAUAAAAACAG
rnacentral:piRNA from 1 species